AUUACCGCCACUAGCUGGUCGCUGCCUCCGAUUUGCUCUUGCUGUUUCUGAUAUGAUCGGCGUCUGACGAGCGAGCUAGCAGAGGAGCGGAACGACCUUUACGAUGCGGACUAGCUAACUGAAUCUUUCUGAAGAAUAUUCAUGUGACAUGUCUGGUCUCUGAUAGCGUAAACAUGGGGAAAUGAGAAGACAACGGGGAGUAGAAAUUAGGGGAACCACGGGGUGGCAGAUGGACAAACCGACCACUUGGAGAAACAUCCCCCUCUUCCCAUGUCUGACGGCGCCAGGUUUGGUUGAUCUGCUCGGAGGACAUAUAGAUACGGUUUCUGGUUUUCUGACGGGAUCCUCUCUGUUCGACUUGUUUUUCAUCUGGAGUGGUGGCGUUGAUAGAGAUCAAGAUGGAGCUAUGGGACCACUACAACAUCCUCAACAACUUGGAUAUCGACACUCCUUGAACUCCCAGUUGGAGGAAGGUUACUUGCUUGGCUGGCCGUCUACAUGUCCAUGCUCUUUAUGUACAUCAUGUGUAUGUUGAAAUACCCCUGCUACCUCCCAGUCCUCUCCCUUAUGUCUGGAGGUACUUUGCGUGGAUACAGUUUGCACAAUUUUUUAUAUAGUCUCAUCUUUUGUCAUUCGGUGACAUAGUUGGUUAGGAAGCUCACUCGUGUGUAGAUUACCUACUUUUAUAAUAUUUCUGUAUUGGAAGUUGAAUUUUAGCUUUGCAAGGUUCUUUUGAUUUCGAUAUUGUUACCAUCCAUAAGAUCAAUAGCUACUAUUUACUCAGUAUCAGAGAGCACUAAAUAUUUUCAUCUUUUCACAAGUGACAUAAUGAGAGUUAUUUUUUAUCUUACAAAAAUGAGAUUGUGUGUUGUUUGACUAAUUCGCUGUGAGUACGUAUUAUAUUUGGUUUUACCUGAAAAAUAUUAUGUCUUUGUAUUUCUUUAGCUAACUUCUUACCAGUAAUUUUAGGGAGCUGACAUAUAUUAAACAUAGGUUGAGAUUUUGUAACUAAUCUUAUGCUUUGAGAAAACAAGUAUUUUAAGUUUUAGUAAGUAUUGCAACCUUAUUACCUUUCUGUAUAGAUUUGCAUUUUUAUUGCUAAUAUAAUGUUAUACAUCUUCCAUGUUUAUCUUACAUUAAUGUAGAUAUCCAAUGCAUCGAACAAAGAAAAGAGUCAGCACAAAGAGUUCAUCGAGGAAUGGUUUCGGUGCUUUGACUAUUUAGUCAUUUAAGUUUUUUUCCUCUCUAUGUUGUCAACUAAAUAAAUAGAUUAUGCCAUAAUUCUUCAGGAGUGUUACAAUAUUAAACAUACAAUCAAGGCUACUAUUUUCUUCUUUAGGUUAUUUUGUAACAUCAUGAUAAUUGUCUGAUGAAUAUAUUUUGCUUCAAAGCUAGCAAUUGCUUUGGAGUUCCACAACCCAAAUAGAACAUAAUGGCUAGCUUGAUAUUGAAGUUAAGAGUGUGUGGUUUGUAAUUUUGAUAUACCUUUGCAGUUUGUUUAGCUACAACAUUUUUGCAUCUUAACAUACUUCUAUUCUUGAAGGCUUUUCUUAAAUGGAAGCCCAAUGAGAUCAGAAAUGGUGGCUCCUCUAAUUUCCAAUGAUAUAUAAAGUCACAAUGAAGUCGGGAUGUGUUUUGGUACUCCGUCCGGUCGGAAUUACUUGUCGAAAUAUUACAUUACCUAUAUAUAUGCUUUUUAAAUAUAGAUACAUCAAUGUUUGGGCAAAUUUGAGACAAGUAAUAUGGAUCGGAGGGAGUAGUAAACUUUGAUGAUAAGGAAUAAACGAGGCUGCUGGUAAUAAUCGCCGAAAACCUAUUGAUCCAUUAUAUUUAAUCUUUAUAGGAUUAUGUAAUGUUCUUUAAUGUUCCGUACUCUGACUUGAUUUGUAUUUAGAGAACUCUUAGCUUAGAAUAUGUGGGACAAUAGAAUCAUGUUUUCUUUUUGGUCCAUAUUAUUGUUUUGGCAUCUUCGGUGGUCAAAAGAAGCCUACAAGGGUGGUUAGAUAGCUGGACGAUUAUGCUCACAGUUUGAUACAAUUCACGGAGUAUACUUUGCUGUGUUUUUUCUUUUUUGCAUAUGCUUAUUGACUAAUUUUGUAACAAGUUAUCAUGUUGCCUCAAUAGUGUAUACAUAUUAUGAAUGAACAUUGUUGAGCUACUAUUAUCCGGCGCGGCAAGGCGCGCUUACCCAUCUAGUACAAUCAAGGUCCAUCUAUUACUCUCCUUUGAGCCUCUAUGGUAGUAGUUCCAGUAUAGCUCAGUGUGUCCGACAACAGACUCUAAAUUCUCAACUUAGGGACACUUGAAGACGAUGAUGGAUCGCAACGGAAGCUAGCGAGAAAAGGAACCUGCUGCAUGUGCUGCGACAACCAAAUCGACUCGCUUCCUUACAGGUUUUUGCUUCAACUUGCCAGCUAUAUCUAACUGUCUGCACUUGUCUGCCGACUUGGGUUCGGCACAUCGGGGGGACGGAUCGAGAGGUGCAGCGGAUUAGGGGCGUGGUCGUCGGGGAAGUCGGCGGCGACAGGGGCUACCAUGAACAUAAUAGAGGAUGAAGGAGCAUGGGGGUACCCGAAGAUACUGAAACAGGGAAUCUAGUGCCUCGUCGCAGGAGGCGGCUUGUACAAAAGGAUCUGAUUCCAGUUGAUCCAAUUCCAGAAGUUUAUGGUGAGAAGCAAAAGACUCUAGUAGGCUGGGUGUGUGCUAGCAAAAAUAUCGGGGGAUCCAGCAUGUGUGUGCUGGCAACUAGUUUUUCGGGGGUAGUUUACACGUUCAGUGUUUGCUUCCAAUGAGUGGCUGAAAACUAAAAAAAAUCUACCUAGCAGGAGGCUUUGUACAUUUUUUGGGGGAUUCAGCAUAUGUGUGCUGGAAACUAUUUUUUCUGGAUGAAAACCACACUACUCCUUGUAUGCACCGGAGCUACUGCUUGUUUAGUUUUUUGUAGUUGAAAGGUUCAGGGUUUGCUUUCAAAUUGUUGCUGGAAACUAAAAGCUAAAAAUGACCUGUACAGGUGAUACUCCCUUUGUGCAGUUUUAUUUUACAUGACAGGUUCAGAGU